UCCCAUGUAUAAAAAUCCAUGGGGAUAUUCUUUGGCAUAAACUCCUAGUGGGCUGUCCCACAUAUAAGCUUCUGACAGGUUGUUCCAUGACAAAGCUAAUUUAAAAUAUAUCUUUUUCCAUCCAUUUAAUUUAUGUUGAUAUCAUUGAUUUCAUGAAAUCAAUUUCAAUGUACUGUGUGAUCCAAAUAAGUAUAUUAUAUC
rnacentral:lncRNA from 1 species